rnacentral:lncRNA from 1 species
GAGUAAACUAUCAAGACUUAAAACUUACUUAUUUUACCUUUCACCAUGGGACUUGUAACCGUCACUUCUGUCUUGAGUAGUUAAAAGAUAGAACAGUCUAGUCAAGUGUCUUGUCUCUUAUUCUUGAUCAGCUAUAGCUCUGAAGUUUUUGCAGAUUUUCAAAUAAAACUCAGAGAUUCCUUUGUAUGACUCUCUUAAAUCUCUCUUUUGUGGUAUUUCUGGAUCCUUACCAAGGCAGUGAUGGUAUAUGCCUUCUCUCAAUAUAUAUGGUAUUUGUGGUAUAAGGCAUAGUGACAUUGCCUUGUCUCUCACCCUACUCUAAUAAGGCUUUAAUAUCUGGAGCUCAUAGGUGGGAGAUAAAGUAUACAUACUUACAAGACAUUUAUUGCAUAGUCAAACCAUGGAUCUAGAGAAACAAAUCAGUAAGUCAAAUCAACAUGUGCAUGUGUGGCGAAUGAAUGGUGUAUGGUGAUGAUGGUGAUAGCAAUGGUGAAAACAAUGGUGAAAGUCUAAUUUUACUUUUGCUCUUUUGAGGGGAUAUAUACCUUUCUUGCCUUUUGAAACUUUAUGAGGAGAAUGAGAUGCUCUAUCUUUUCUUUUCUCUCAGGUGGGUAUCUUGUACCCCUAAUUCUACUAUCGGACACUUGUCCAUUUUUACCUCUCGUCUCACUUUUUCUUUUCUUUCGAGGUUCCGGGCACUUGCCCCUUUUUAUUUCCUCGUAUCUUUUUUUUCUUCUCCUUUUUUUAGAGUACUCAUCGCUUGAGAUAAUAUAGCAAGUGGUAGUAACAAGAUAACUUGAGCAUUUAUUUCACAGGGGAAAAACAAUAUUUUUGGUCAUUCUCUCCCGGAUUAGGAGUAGAAUAUUUUUGGGUGGUUCUGGAGAUGGAAAUGAGUGGAUAUAUGUGGAUGGUACUUCCGGAGUAGAAGCAGCAUAUGUGAGUGAACGUGCAAGUGAAUCUUGAUUUAACCACAUGACAAGCUCCUAAGGGUCUACACAGCUUGACCACACUCAAUGCUCAUAAGCAGUAAAUAGAAAAUGUGUGGCUCAAAGUCUAGCAAGUAUGUAUAUAUGGCUGUGGUAGGAAUUUAAACUCUCAUCAUACAGGAACUCAUCAUGCAACAUUUUAAAGAUUUUCAAAGAUAAAAUUCUCCAGAAUUCUAGCAUCUCUAGGAACAGAGAAACAGCAGCUCAACCUUCCCAUAUCAUAUCCGUUAACAACUUAAACUUCAGAUCAAGUUUUCUUCCCACAUGUUUAGGUUUAGAGCAAGCUUUAAAUUAUAACAAUUAUGUCUAACCUUGAGAGAGAACUUCAAAUUUUAAAAAUUAGUCAGAGCAACUAUUCAUCAUAUCCAUGCUAGAGUUUUAUUGUUAAGAUUCAGAUUACCAUAGCCACUUUAUUUAUUUAUUAAACACACUAGCAAAAGAUAUAUAUAUAAGCAUAAAAUCUUUAUUUGGUUUUUCAUAGUAAUUUAUAUUUAUAUUUUAAUAUAGUAUAAGUAUAAAGAUAGAUAGAAAUACUUAGCGGGAUAAAUGGAGGUGCUCUCCCCCAAGCUGAAUUUUGAUGUAAUUUCCCUUGAUGUAGCUAGCAGGUGGCAGAGGUGUAUUUGAAAGUCAGCAGCAUUCUGACAGCGAUUAGAAUGUCCUCCGUCUGCUAGUCCUCUUGAUUCUUAAAUUUUGUGGAGCUCAAAUAGACAACAAAGCUUGUGGAACUGAUUAAGUGUUAGCAUAAACAUCUAGCCUUUAUCAUAUUGAGACUCCUCAAUAAAUGUUACUCCCUAUUUUAUAUUUCCAUUUUAUAAAGCAGAAAAUAUUUAUUUUAUUUUUAUGCCACCACAGUGAACGUACUUAUGGGUUUUAUGCCACUUGUAUACUCACAUGGGGCUUACUAUUUUUUUUAAAUUCUUAUUUUCUUUUUAGGAUAGUAUGAACUUAAUUAACUAAGUAGACUAUUUGAAAUAAUUGAAAGGGAAAGAAUAACUACCAAGUUUACCUCUUGGCAAGGCGUUUGGUGUUUUUAAGUCCUCCGAACGGGACUCUCCGUUUUCUGAAUUGUCCUCAGGUUCAUUGGGUUGCGUAGUCGGUACUUCCGGCAGCGCCUCCUCUUCAUGUAUAGUUAUCUUCUCUUUCCGUACCUGACAUGGUGCUACGGUCUCCUCUGGAUAAUUCUGUUUAAACUGAAUGUCUUCUGACCUUAUCACUUCUCCUUCAUAGUCUGCCCAUCCGUCCUUGAUGAUCUGCCUCCUCUGGUUGCGGUUGCGUCGUUUCCUGACCUGCAUAGAUUCUUCAAAGAUGUAGUUAGGGUCAGUAAAAUAAUAGCGUACCUUCUCUAUGGGGAAGUGCAUAUGGACUUCUCCGGUUCCAAUGUAGAUGAUUGCUUUAACGGCGCUGAGGAACGGUCUUCCAAGGAUGAUGGGUGGAUCGUACUCAUCUUCUCCCAUGUUUAUAACCUGAAAGUCUGUGUAGACAAAAUGAUCGUCUAUUUUGACUGGGACAUCAGUUACUAUUCCUUUAACUUCUCGAAAUGUCUGAUCUGCCAUCUGGAGCUGAAUGUAUGUUGGUUUUAGGGGCAUGGUUCCGAACAAGAGCCGAUAGGUGACUGCGGCCAUUAUGUUGACGCCCGAUCCGGUGUCGCAAGUCGUCUUGUAGAAGUUGUAUCCAUUUAUGGAGCAGUAGAUGCUUGGCAUUCCUAGGUCGUCCUUCUUGGUAAAAAACGGUGACUUAAGUUGAUGAUCUUGGCCUCCAUGAACUGCAGUGACCAUGUUAGCUGACUCGGUCCACACUUGCUUGUUCAUGUUCCUCCUGUUGGUCCUCUUCUAUGAUUCACGUCUGGAUUGAUCUGGAAUUUGUGUAGUCAUGUUCUUGAAGGAAAACGUUUUCUUCUUCCCUUUGAUGUAGAAACUGAUAUUGGCAGCACUGGCGUAGAUAACAGCUCCCGAGGUGUUUAAGAAUGGCCUCUCUAAGAUGAUGGGUGCUCUCUCAUCAUUACCGGUCUCUAUCACCAUGAAGUCUGCUAGGGCAUACAAGGUACCAACUCGGACACAAAGGUUCUUCAAUAUUCCUUUUGGAAAACUUAUCGUCUGAUCUGCAAACUGCAAACACAUGGUUGUUUCUAAUAAAGGAUAUUUAAAGAAUUUUUCAUAGAGUACCCUGGGUAUAAUGUUGACGCUGGAGCCAAAGUCGCAGAGUGCUUCUGGGACGUCCACCAUGCCGAUGGCGAUCGGGAUGACGGGGCGUCCUGGAUCACCUCUCUUGACCGGCAGAAGGUCAGUAGUGAAUUCAGUGACGGGGUUACUCCAAUUACCUACAUCAAACAUGUCUACAAGAUUUGCAGAUUCUAAUCCUUCUGGUUGUGAUGGUAUACCGGGGUUAGUAGUAGGAACAACAGCAGCUAUUUGAUUUAACUAAGAUUCAAUCAUUUUAUUAAAGCUAAUUUGAUUCUUGAUGGCAGUAGAGGAAUUAUCCAUUCUAUUAUUUAUAUUUUCUAGCAUUUUGUCAUUAGAUGCCAAUUUCUUAGAUAGGUUAUCCAUUAUCUUUCCUUGAUUAGACACUAACUCUCUCAGAGGUGAAAAAUUAUUAUUAUUGUUGUAAGAAUUAUUACCUUUAUAAUUACCUGAGUAGUUAGGCCUCUGUUGAUUCCAACCUUGAUUUUGUUGAGGACGAUUGUAGUAGUAGUUGUUGUUAUUGUUGAUGUAGUUCACAUCCUCAAGCAUCUCAGGGCAGUGAUUGCGUGAGUGUCCAGUGUCUCCACACUCCUCACAAGUCAUGUGAGAGUCGUAGAUGUGCAUAACUUCUUUCUUAUAUCUAGCUCUAUCAUCGAGCUUCUUCAUGAGCAGGUCUAGCUUUGCAGACAACAUGUCUACCUCCUUGAGCUGAUGUAUACCUCCACCUCUCUUGCGUGUCUGGGUCCUCUCUUCAUUCUAGCCUUGGUUGGACGCCAUCUUCUCCACAAGAGCUGUGGCUUGUGGUAUGGUGAGUGAUAAGAAUGCUCCUCCAGCUGCAGCAUCCAUGGUCUCUCGGGCACUAUUGCUGAGCCCAUGAUAAAACGUCUGCAUCAGUAGUCAACUCUCCAUUCCAUGAUGGGGACAUUCUAGGAUGUAGUCUUGAAAGCGCUCCCAUGCUUCUGCAACAGAUUCAUCAUUUUGUUGCUGAAAACUUGUAAUCUUCCCACGGAGAGCAUUGGUCUUGCCCAUGGGAAAGAACUUAGCCAGAAAGUUUGUUGAGCAGAGUGCCCACGUAGUAUUCUUCUCCUUUGUAGCAUAGAACCACUGCUUCGCUCUCCCUAACAGUGAGAAUGGGAAGAGGCGAAGUAGUAUAGCAUCUGUGGGGACUCCUGAUAUGGUAAAUGUGCUGCAAAUCUCCAGAAAGUGUUGGAGAUGAGCACUAGCAUCUUCGUGUGCCUUCCCACAGAACUGGUUGGAUUGCACCAUGUUGAUAAGUCCAGGCUUGAGCUCAAAGUUGUCGUCGAUCUCUACAGCAGGUCCAGUACGGAUGUUGUCCGUAAUGGGAGCUGAGAACUCACGGAUUGAUUUGUUCGCCAUGGCUUCGAACUCUGAAGACAAGUUCCGGUGAUCUUCUUGAUUAGUUGAAGUUUCUUGCUGAAGUGUUGAUGAUCUCCUCUUGAGCUUGGCUCUAGUUUUUCUGAAUAAGGCUUCGGGAUUGUCAACAAAAUUUCCUGGAAGAUGUCUUCUAUUCAUACAUUCCCCUACACAAGAUAAAAUAGAAAAAUAUUGGGGUAAAACUGUAUGAGAGAAUAGAUAAGCUCAAUCAUAUUAGUGAUGCGAAUGAUAACUCAAAAUCCUUUAUUCAUUCUUGAUUAGUAAUCAACCUUCCCCGGCAACGGCGCCAAAAAUGCUUGUUGGGUAUUCUUAACAUCAUUACCAAAAGUUACGACUUAGUUUUCUAAAUCUAAUAACGGUGCCAAAAAUGCCAAACCUAUCCCUCAUACCACUUAAGCCAAGUUGUCAUCCCCAGCAUGACAUGAGAGACGCGGUAUUGAAAUAUGCAAUUGCUCUUCUAAAUAAAUAAUGAAUGGGAUCUACAAGUGCACAGAUUAAUACCGAUGUAGCAUUUUAAUCGGAAAGUAUUCCAGGUAUCGUUAUUUAUAUUUUUACCACUGGGAAGGGAUUAACAAUCAUCAAUAUUGACUACAGAAUGGAAUAUGAGAUUGAGUAUCUAUCAUUACAUGUAUAAUUGAGAACAUUUAUCUAACUCUUUCAUACAGGGGUAAGUGUCACAUAAAAGAUAUAUGAAGUAAUGAAUAGUGACAAAGAUAAUUGAUCUGAUCAGCAUAACUUAGCCACAUAAUAAAUAUGAUAAGCACCUCAAUUAGAUACACUAGAAAGUCAUUAGCAUGGAAUUAGAACGAACUACAAGAAUAUUUCCUAAGUUAUUCUCAACUAUAUAGUCUAGCAUUAUCAUGUUAGUGCAAGCAUACUUAGCAAUCAUUGCGAGACAAGACUACGCCCACGCAUAGUGAUAUUAGCAAGGUAAAUGAGAAACAUAGCAAUUACUCCCCUGUAAUAAUGUUGCUCUGCCAGCCCAAUACACGAGAGGGGGACUAUAUAAGAAUCAAUAAAGCUGUCACUAUCACGAACUACCCCACGGUCUGGCAUAUUGGGUACAAUCGCAGAUAUAUACGGUAUAAGCACCACGCCUACACAAUAUCUAUCAUUUACCCAUGGAUCCGAUGGAUAAACGCUAUACGAUCCUAAACAUGUAUAUAGAUCCAAUCUAACUAAGCCAAGUACAUAACUAUGAUAAACUAAGAACAAUAUAGUCUUGAAAAUAAGCAAGUAGAGCAAAGUCAUAAGCAAUAUAUUGAAAUAGAACAAAGUCAUAUUCAUAAUAUUAAAGAACAAAGAUGAUUAGAAGAACAAUUAGAAGCACAAUUAGUGAAUUACCAAGAAUCCUCUUGACAGAUCCGAAAACCAAUCGAAGAUUGACUCCUUCUAGUUCUAAUCCUAUGUAGCUAUGUGUUGACACUUGCUAACACCACUUGAAUACUAGGUUGUCAUCCCCAGCGUGGUACUAGAGUGUACUAUAGUAUUUAUACGCACACAGAUAAUCCGCAAGCGCACGGAUACCGUUGAAGCUUUUACCCGGUUAAAGGUUUUAUCGUAUCCACAGGGAAACGGGAGAACUGAUCUACGCUCUAACUUAACCAAGAUAAGUAAAUAGGUGUGAAUAGGAAAGAUGGUAGAAUCGAAUAAGAACAAUAUUAAAGGUAAGAUAACAGUGAGUGAUAAUAUGGGAAUAGAGAGUAGAGCAAUUCUAGUAUAUGGGAGAUGGUAGCAGAAUAGAGAGGACAACUAUGGUUUCUCUACUUCAAAGGGGUAUGUCUAUGUCUGGGACGAACCACGUGAUAAGAGUACACCACAAAGGAUGCUUAUCCUUAGGCCGAUAAACCCUACCUGUCCUGCUAACGAGAGGUGGACUACAGGGGACCAACGUAACUGUCACCUACGCGGCCUACCAUACGAUCCAGCUAGUCAGGGGAUAUCCACAAGUAAUCUAGGUCUAAGCACCACGCUUACACCUAUACUACAACUCUAACCUAUAGGGUCCUAUAGAUUAGAAGUACUCAAAAGAGUUGUGAACCAGAACAUACAUGAUUAGUAAUUGCUUAAUGAAUUAGAAGUAGAUUACCAGAGUCAUCCCAUGAGCAAGCUUGAUUAGAGCUUGAUCAUGGCGAAGUACAACCGGAGGAAGAACCGACAGGCCGACCUCUCCUCUAAUCCUCCUUCGCUCUCCAUCUCGCUACUAUCUAGAUCUACUCUAGUUUAGAGAAGAGAGGAGAGCUCUCAUCUCUAAACCCUAGCUUUUGCUCUGUCUAUGAAUAAUGAAUAAUGAACAAGGGGUGCCUCCUCCAGGGGCCAGGGGGUCUGGUUUUAUAGUCCCCUCAAGUGAACCUGGGCCGUCGGAUCAAACCGACAUUGAUUGAACGGUUAUUCUUGAUCCUUUAGGUCGGUGGAGCAUAAUCCGCGAGAUUGAGCGUGAUUGGCCACAGGAGGUGGGCGGGCGCCCUGUCUCUGGCCCCGAUUCGCCUCCGCUUCGGUCUCGUGGCUUCUGGAGUCUUCUAGAUGUAAGAUAAUUGCGCGGCACGUUAAUAUCUUUACGUAAUCCCGACGUGUGGGUCUUUCUUCCUUAUUUCCUGAUAACCCCCUGCAGAAAUUGACAAACACCAAAACUCAUAGAAUUCUGUCAGAUAAAUCCCUAAGUCUGGAUGUUGAUUUCAUUUGGAUCCUUUUCUUUAUUUAUUUGAUAAUUAAAUUUGAUACUUAAGGACCGUCAACAAACUCCCCCAAGCUUACCUCUUGCUCGUCCCUGAGCAAGGAUAGACUCAGCAAUGGAUCAGAAGUUGUUAUAAUAUCUUAAAAAUUUGAUGGUACACAUGCUUUUAAAUGAGGUCUCAUCUCUGAGUUAGAGUAAACUGUCAAGACUUAAAACUUACUUACUUUACCUUUCACCAUGGGACUUGUAACCGUCACUUCUGUCUUGAGUAGUUAAAAGAUAGAACAGUCUAGCCAAGUGCCACGUCUCUUAUUCUUGAUCAGCUAUAGCUCUGGAGUUUUUGCAGAUUUUCAAAUAAAACUCAGAGAUUCCUUUGUAUGACUCUCUCAUAUCUCUCUUUUGUGGUAUUUCUGGAUCCUUACCAAGGCAGUGAUGGUAUAUGUCUUCUCUCAAAAUAUGUGGUAUUUGUGGUAUAAGGCAUAGUGACAUUGCCUUCUCUCUCACCCUACUCUAAUAAGGCUUUAAUAUCUGCAGCUCAUAGGUGGGAGAUAAAGUAUACAUACUUACAAGACAUUUAUUGUAUAGUCAAACCAUGGAUCCAAAGAAACAAAUCAAUAAGCCAAAUCAAGAUGUCCAUGUGUGGCGAAUGAAUAGUGUAUGGUGAUGAUGGUGAUAACAAUGGUGAAAGUCUAAUUCUACUUUUGCUCUUUUGAGGGGAUACAUACCUUCCUUGCUUUUUGAAACUUUAUGAGGAGAAUGAGAUGCUCUUCUUUUUCUUUUCUCUCAGAUGGGUAUCCUGUACCCCUAAUUCUACUGUCGGACACUUGUCCAUUUUACCUCUCGUCUCACUCUUUCUUUCUUUCGAGGUUCCGGGCACUUGCCCCUUUUUAUUUCCUCGUUUAUUAUUUUUUUUCUUUUUUUUAGAGCACUCAUCUCUUAAGAUAAUAUAGCAAGUGGUAGUAGCAAGAUAACUUGAGCAUUUAUUUCACAGGGAAUAACAGGGAUAGGAAAAUGUUUUUGGCUAUUCUCUCCCGGAUUAGGAGUAGAAUGAUUUUGGGUGAAACUGGAGAUGGAAAUGGAUGGAUAUAUGUGGAUGGUACUUCCGGAGUAGAAGUAGCAUAUACGAGUGAACGUGCAAGUGAAUCUUGAUUUAACCACAUGACAAGCUCCUAAGGGUCUACACAGCUUGACCACACUCAAUGCUCAUAAGCAGUAAAUAAUAAAUGUGUGGCUCAAAGUCUAGCAAGCAUGUAUAUAUGGCUGUGGUAGGAAUUUAAACUUUCAUCAUACAGGAACUCAUCAUGCAACAUUUUAAAGAUUUUUCAAAGAUAAAAUUCUCCAGAAUUCUAGCAUCUCUAGGAAUAGAUAAACAGUAGCUCAACCUUCCCAUAUCUUAUCCGUUAACAACUUAGAUUUCAGAUCAAGUUUUCAUCCCACAAGUUUAGAUCUAGAGCAAGCUUUAAAUUAUAACAGUUAUGUCUAAACUUGAGAGAGAACUUCAAAUUUGCAAAUUAGGCAGAGCAACUAUUCAUCAUAUCCAUGCUAGAGUUUUAUUAUUA